AACGAACGCUGGCGGCAUGCCUAACACAUGCAAGUCGAACGAGAUCCUUCGGGGUCUAGUGGCGCACGGGUGCGUAACGCGUGGGAAUCUGCCCUUAGGUUCGGAAUAACAGUUAGAAAUGACUGCUAAUACCGGAUGAUGACGUUAAGUCCAAAGAUUUAUCGCCUGAGGAUGAGCCCGCGUAGGAUUAGCUAGUUGGUGUGGUAAAGGCGCACCAAGGCGACGAUCCUUAGCUGGUCUGAGAGGAUGAUCAGCCACACUGGGACUGAGACACGGCCCAGACUCCUACGGGAGGCAGCAGUGGGGAAUAUUGGACAAUGGGCGCAAGCCUGAUCCAGCAAUGCCGCGGGAGUGAUGAAGGCCUUAGGGUGGUAAAGCUCUUUUACCCGGGAUGAUAAUGACAGUACCGGGAGAAUAAGCCCCGGCUAACUCCGU
rnacentral:rRNA from 1 species